rfam:Colius striatus contig90713, whole genome shotgun sequence.
GUGCUCGCUUCAGCAGCACAUAUACUAAAUUCUGAACAAUACAGGGGAGAUUAGCAUGACCCCUGCGCAAGGAUGACAUGCAAAUUAGUUAACUAUUCCAUAUUUUA